GCAAAUAAGAAUAUGGCUUGUGCUAAAAUUAGAAUGAUACAGAGAAGAUUGGCAUGGCCCCUGCACAAGACUGUGAUUCAGUACAAAUGCAGCUUCUCUUAUUCAA
rnacentral:snRNA from 1 species